ensembl:lncRNA
CUGAUGCCAGGAGGAAAUGCUCCUGGUGGAAACACCUUUCCAUUGGGACAGACAGGCUAAUUACUAUGCUGACAUGCUCCGUUCACUGCCUCCCUUUUCCUCCUCCUUCUCCGUGUUUUUCUAGUCCACCCAUAGCUGCAUGUCCCCCUCCUUGCCCUGCUUGGAUCUCCAUUUUACCUUUCCAAUGCAUCCCAGAGGAUUGUGAGUUCCUUUCCAGCCUGUGGGUUUGGCUGCUGCCUGGGCCUGGAAGGGCUUUGCAGAUGUGUGUAAACACCUCCUCCUUGCUGCCAGAAACCACUGGACUGUCCCUCUUGCAGGAAAGGACAGGAUAAAUCCACUGUUUUGGUUUCCUGCUGGAGCAGCAUGGUGCAGCAUCCCUCCCAAAGGCAGCUGUUUGGCUCCAGGAGCUACACAAGAUGACACAGGAGCGGGAUUGUUCCAGAAUUUUUGGAGGCUGGAUGGCAAUGCAGUUGUGGUAAACCAAUCAUUGCUCAGAAAUGUCCUUUUUUUUUCCUGGUGGGUUAUUUUUUUCCCUCAUUCUCCUCAGCUUCCCUUAUAAUUAGGUGCUGCAGGCUCCAAAGGCUCCAGGACUGCCUUUCCCAGGAGUGGGUGCUGGAAUGGCCAGUGAGCUCAAGACCAUCUCAGGGCUGCUGCAGGUUGCUGGAGGGAUUUCUCCCCUUAGGAAAUGAACUUGGAUUCCCACCCCUGUUACCAUCAGGGGACAACACUCAGAAGAGAAUGCUGAGGGCCACAAAGUCACCUCAGCUCUGCAGAGCCCCAAGUGCCCUUGGUUUCAAAGCAGCUGAGUCACUUGUGAGUCAUCCAAAGCCUGAAGCAGAGCAGGGAGCUGUUCUUAGAGCCAAGUUUUCCCAACUCCCUUUGCCCUUCAGCAUCUUUUCCUGCCCGUUCUGUUACUCUGGUGAUCUCAAAGGCUGGAGAGGCUCCAAUCCCUCCUGCAGCUGCAGGUGAGUGAAAGGUGGGCUCUGCAGCAGGGGAAUCCCUGUUCAACCACACCCAGGCAGCGCUGUGUGUGUGGGACUCCUCAGGGAGCCACAAAGAAAUGCUCCCUCCAGGCUGGGCCACAGAUCUCAUCCUGCACAGCAGCAUCAGGAAAAGGUUGGGAGUCCAGCAGCAAAAUCUUUGGUCUUGGUGCAGCUUUCCAGCAGCCUGCAGCUUUAGAAGAAGGGGUGGGAAAUGCCCCAGUGCUGGGGAUUUCCUUUGGCUGCCUGCAGAGGACCUUCCUCAGAGCUGGGAGCCUUGAGCCACAGCCACGGAACACCAUCACUGCUGGCCUGGGGCUCUUCCUGGACCAGGGCAGGGGGAUUGCAGCUGCACCGGUUGGUGUCGCUGGGAUGGUGACAUCUCCUUCCUGGACCAGGGCAGGGGGAUUGCAGCUGGGAUGGUGACAUCUCCUGGGGGCAUUUCUCUGGGGUAGAGACAUUGCCUGAGGACACUUCUGUCCUCAGAAAUGGGAUAAUGACAUUUGCUGGAGUGUUUCUGCAGGACUGGGAUGGUGGCAUUCAUUUCUGUGGCACUGGGAUGUUAUCCCAGUGGAUGCAUCUGCAGAGGGUGUCUCCAGGGAUACUGUCAGGACUUUUAGUGAGAUACCAGAAUCCCCCAGUUCCCCUUGGAGCUGGGGGUUCUUGCCAAGGCCUUGUGGAGCAGAAUGGGAUGCCCAGCCCUGCC